rnacentral:rRNA from 1 species
CCUACGGGUGGCAGCAGUGGGGAAUAUUGCACAAUGGGCGCAAGCCUGAUGCAGCCAUGCCGCGUGUGUGAAGAAGGCCUUCGGGUUGUAAAGCACUUUCAGCGGGGAGGAAGGCGGUGAGGUUAAUAACCUCAUCGAUUGACGUUACCCGCAGAAGAAGCACCGGCUAACUCCGUGCCAGCAGCCGCGGUGAAUACGGAGGGUGCAAGCGUUAAUCGGAAUUACUGGGCGUAAAGCGCACGCAGGCGGUCUGUCAAGUCGGAUGUGAAAUCCCCGGGCUCAACCUGGGAACUGCAUUCGAAACUGGCAGGCUAGAGUCUUGUAGAGGGGGGUAGAAUUCCAGGUGUAGCGGUGAAAUGCGUAGAGAUCUGGAGGAAUACCGGUGACGAAGGCGGCCCCCUGGACAAAGACUGACGCUCAGGUGCGAAAGCGUGGGGAGCAAACAGGAUUAGAUACCCUUGUAGUC